AAAACAGAUCUGUGAUGAUGAAACAGAUCCAGUCAGACGGGAGGAGACGUGCUGCAGGAGAAUGGAACCGCUACCAGCCAAACUCCGGCCAACUGGACUGAAUACAGUUUUUGACCGGCUUGAGUGAUGGGACUCACGAAGACCUCUACUAUGUCAAGAUAUUUCACCGGGUGAUGGAAAACUCCGACCUGAUGAUGGCGCUUGAUGACAGACAUGGAUGACAUGGAUUCACUCAAGCCAUGGAGAUUCAUCGUCUGGUGGCUUUGAGAAUAGCUCUGCAGAUUUGCAUGGCAAUCCAACCCAACACUUGAGUCUGGACCAGUAAUGACCAUGCGACCGCUCAUCAGCACAGCAUCUUACUCUGAAUCCAACAACAACAGCUCCUGACCGACUGCCCUCCCUCACCCACUCAUGUCUCCAGUGCAUCACAGUGCCAGUGAUCCCGAUGGAGGCAUUGCAGCGUUUAUUCAGUGUUGCGAACUAAUGUAUUCCGUGUACAUUACUAUAGAAAUGCGUGGCUUACUUUUCAAGGAGUGGGCGGUGACAUUUUCCCACUGGAGCCACUGAAGCUAUACAAACUUGUUGCUCAGAACGCUCAUAGCUACUGUCAGUUGUACUGCAGGAAAUGUCUUGGUUCAUCUGUGCUACGACCAUUCUUUAUAGAAACAAACCUGGAGACACAUGUAAUGACACCGUUUCGCUCACUUAAAGGUGCUCCGUGUAGAUGUGGUGAGGACAUUUUACUCAGAAGAGAAAGAUCUCCAUUGACUGAUUUUGAUGUCAUUACAAACUAAAUUCAACUAUUUUCAUGACUGAAUAAACAAACUGACCUUAAAGGACAACACAAUUUCACACUGUUUUACUUUGUUUAUAUUUGGCAGACCCUGC